GGAAAAGAAAUCAACCGAGAUUCCCCCAGUAGCGGCGAGCGAACGGGGAGCAGCCCGGAGUCUGAAUCAGCUUGUGUGUUAGUGGAACGGUCUGGAAAGUCCGACGGUACAGGGUGAUAGUCCCGUACACGAAAGCACACAUGCUGUGAACUCGAAGAGUAGGGCGGGACACGUGGUAUCCUGUCUGAAUAUGGGGGGACCAUCCUCCAAGGCUAAAUACUCCUGACUGACCGAUAGUGAACCAGUACCGUGAGGGAAAGGCGAAAAGAACCCCGGCGAGGGGAGUGAAAAAGAACCUGAAACCGUGUACGUACAAGCAGUGGGAGCCUCUUUAUGGGGUGACUGCGUACCUUUUGUAUAAUGGGUCAGCGACUUAUAUUCUGUAGCAAGGUUAACCGUAUAGGGGAGCCGAAGGGAAACCGAGUCUUAACUGGGCGUUAAGUUGCAGGGUAUAGACCCGAAACCCGGUGAUCUAGCCAUGGGCAGGUUGAAGGUUGGGUAACACUAACUGGAGGACCGAACCGACUAAUGUUGAAAAAUUAGCGGAUGACCUGUGGCUGGGGGUGAAAGGCCAAUCAAACCGGGAGAUAGCUGGUUCUCCCCGAAAGCUAUUUAGGUAGCGCCUCGUGAACUCAUCUUCGGGGGUAGAGCACUGUUUCGGCUAGGGGGCCAUCCCGGCUUACCAACCCGAUGCAAACUACGAAUACCGAAGAAUGUUAUCACGGGAGACACACGGCGGGUGCUAACGUCCGUCGUGAAGAGGGAAACAACCCAGACCGCCAGCUAAGGUCCCAAAGUCAUGGUUAAGUGGGAAACGAUGUGGGAAGGCACAGACAGCCAGGAUGUUGGCUUAGAAGCAGCCAUCAUUUAAAGAAAGCGUAAUAGCUCACUGGUCGAGUCGGCCUGCGCGGAAGAUGUAACGGGGCUAAACCAUGCAC
rnacentral:rRNA from 1 species